UACAGAGGGUGCGAGCGUUGUUCGGAAUUAUUGGGCGUAAAGGGCGCGUAGGCGGUGCGGUAAGUCACCUGUGAAAUCUCCUGGCUCAACUGGGAGUCUGCAGGCGAAACUGCCGUGCUGGAGUAUGGGAGAGGUGCGUGGAAUUCCUGGUGUAGCGGUGAAAUGCGUAGAUAUCAGGAGGAACACCUGUGGCGAAGCGGGUUGCUGGGCUGACACUGACGCUGAACUGCGAAAGCUAGGGGAGCGAACGGG
rnacentral:rRNA from 1 species